CACAAUGGGCGAAAGCCUGACGGAGCAAUACCGCGUGAGGGAUGACGGCCCUUGGGUUGUAAACCUCUUUUAUCAAGGAGGAAGUUCUGACGUGUACUUGAUGAAUAAGCAUCGGCUAACUCCGUGCCAGCAGCCGCGGUAAGACGGAGGAUGCAAGUGUUAUCCGGAAUCACUGGGCGUAAAGCGUCUGUAGGUGGUUCGAAAAGUCCACUGUUAAAAAUUGAAGCUUAACUUCAAAGAUGCCGUGGAAACUUUCAAACUAGAGUGUGGUAGGGGUAGAGGGAAUUUCCAGUGGAGCGGUGAAAUGCGUAGAUAUUGGAAAGACCACCGAUGGCGAAGGCACUCUACUGGGCCAUUACUUUCUUUUUAGACGAAAGCUA
rnacentral:rRNA from 1 species